CGUAGGUGAACCUGCGGAAGGAUCAUUAUCGAAUAAACUUGAACAGGCUGCUGCUGGUCUCCUCGAGGCAUGUGCACGCUUGUCAUCUUUAUAUUUUUCCACCUGUGCACAUGUUGUAGAUCUUUGGAAGACUUUUUGACCAAUGUAGUCGAUAGAGGAUUGCUGGGAAUCUCUUUCCGGCUUUGCCUUUUAUUUCCAGAUCUAUGUCUGUUUUCACAACCACUCGAUGUGUCUUAGAAUGUUGUAUCCCACAAGGAUUGAAAUAUAUACAACUUUCAGCAACGGAUCUCUUGGCUCUCGCAUCGAUGAAGAACGCAGCGAAAUGCGAUAAGUAAUGUGAAUUGCAGAAUUCAGUGAAUCAUCGAAUCUUUGAACGCAACUUGCGCUUCUUGGUAUUCCGAGAAGCAUGCCUGUUUGAGUGUCAUUUAAUUCUCAAACCACAUCAGUUUUGCUGGUGUGGCUUUGGACUUGGGAGGUAAUUUUUUGCAGUCCUUUUCGCUAGAGGGUACUGCUCUCCUAAAAAAUAUUAGUGGGUGUCUGAAGCAGGAAACCACUAUAAGGGUGUGAUAAACUAUUUAUGUAUGCCCUUGGUAUGCUGCGAUUGAAUCCUGCUCUCUAAUCUUUUUGGAAAUUGAAAAGUUUGACCUCAAAUCAGGUAGNACUACCCGCUGAACUUAAGCAUAUCAAUAAGCGGAGGAAAAGAAACUAACAAGGAUUCCCUUAGUAACUGCGAGUGAAGUGGGAAAAGCUCAAAUUUGGAAUCUGGCAGUCCUUGACUGUCC
rnacentral:rRNA from 1 species